ACUGGUAGCUCAGUUGGUAGAGCAGCGGACUGAAAAUCCGCGUGUCGUGUGGUUCAAUUCCCACCCAGUCC
rnacentral:tRNA from 1 species